UCGGUACCUCGCGAUGCUCUAGAUUAGAGUUUGAUCCUGGCUCGGAGAACGCUGGCGGCGCACAUAAGACAUGCAGUCGAACGGAAUUUAGUUGAAUGUUUACAUGAGACGAAAUUUAGUGGCGGACGGGUGAGUAACACGUGAGCAACCUACCUUUAGGAGGGGGAUAACAUUGAGAAAUCAGUGCUAAUACCGCAUAAUGCAUAAGCUUCACAUGGAGCAUAUGCCAAAGGAGUAAUCCACCUAAAGAUGGGCUCGCGGCUGAUUAGCCAGUUGGUGGGGUAACGGCCUACCAAAGCGAUGAUCAGUAGCCGAGCUGAGAGGCACACGGCCACAUUGGGACUGAGACACGGCCCAGACUCCUACGGGAGGCAGCAGUCGGGAUAUUGCACAUGGAGGAAACUCUGAUGCAGUGACGCCGCGUACAGGAGAAGUCUUUGGAUUGUAACUGUUGUCGACAGGGAAAAAUGACAGUACCUGUGGAGGAAGCUCCGCAACUACGUGCAGCAGCGCGUAUACGUAGUGGCAGCGUGUCCGAUAUUGGGCGUAAGCGCAUGUAGCGGUAUUUAGUCUUCGUGAACUGCGGGCUCACCCGUAUGCGAUGAACUGGUAC
rnacentral:rRNA from 1 species